GACGAACGCUGGCGGCGUGCCUAAUACAUGCAAGUCGAACGCUUUUUCUUUCACCGGAGCUUGCUCCACCGAAAGAAAAAGAGUGGCGAACGGGUGAGUAACACGUGGGUAACCUGCCCAUCAGAAGGGGAUAACACUUGGAAACAGGUGCUAAUACCGUAUAACACUAUUUUCCGCAUGGAAGAAAGUUGAAAGGCGCUUUUGCGUCACUGAUGGAUGGACCCGCGGUGCAUUAGCUAGUUGGUGAGGUAACGGCUCACCAAGGCAACGAUGCAUAGCCGACCUGAGAGGGUGAUCGGCCACACUGGGACUGAGACACGGCCCAGACUCCUACGGGAGGCAGCAGUAGGGAAUCUUCGGCAAUGGACGAAAGUCUGACCGAGCAACGCCGCGUGAGUGAAGAAAGGUUUUCGGAUCGUAAAAACUCUGUUGUUAGAGAAAGAAACAAAGGAUGAAGAAGUAGA
rnacentral:rRNA from 1 species